rnacentral:miRNA from 1 species
GAGGGCACCCCCCAAUCCUGU